rnacentral:rRNA from 1 species
GAUGAACGCUGGCGGCGUGCCUAAUACAUGCAAGUCGAGCGAACAGACGAGGAGCUUGCUCCUCUGACGUUAGCGGCGGACGGGUGAGUAACAUGUGGAUAACCUACCUAUAAGACUGGGAUAACUUCGGGAAACCGGAGCUAAUACCGGAUAAUAUAUUGAACCGCAUGGUUCAAUAGUGAAAGACGGUUUUGCGGUCACUUAUAGAUGGAUCCGCGCCGCAUUAGCUAGUUGGUAAGGUAACGGCUUACCAAGGCAACGAUGCGUAGCCGACCUGAGAGGGUGAUCGGCCACACUGGAACGGAGACACGGUCCAGACUCCUACGGGAGGCAGCAGUAGGGAAUCUUCCGCAAUGGGCGAAAGCCUGACGGAGCAACGCCGCGUGAGUGAUGAAGGUCUUCGGAUCGUAAAACUCUGUUAUUAGGGAAGAACAAAUGUGUAAGUAACUAUGCACGUCUUGACGGUACCUAAUCAGAAAGCCACGGCUAACUACGUG